AUAAGAUGUUGGCAUGAAGGGUUCCAGGUUAGUUUUAUGCAGUGUGUUCAGCCAGGAUUCAGAGAAAACCAGAGAACUGGACUGGAAUAAGACACUGGAGUAAUCAUUCCGUGAAGUCUUUGCUGUGUCACUUGGGCAUCAAAUACAUUAAAGGCCUCAGGGACCUGUUGCCAUCCAAGGGGCAGAGUGCAUGUCCCAGUGAAGAGCUGGUCACCUAGCCUGUCCAAGUGCUCCUUGAUCUCAGAUGGGGACAGUGGAGACGAGUUGUCCUGCUUCACAUACACCACAUCCUGGCCACCCAAACCCAGCCCAACAAUGAUACAUAUACUCCAUGUGUUGGGGACCUGGAAGGUUUGAACAAGUCUAAGUCCUGCAGGCAGGUAGCUAGCUUUGUAUGCACCCUUCAAUUUGCUGCCGGCUGCUGCUGCUGCUUAUUGCCUGGUCUGGUCCUUUUCCCACUAAUGCAUGCAUACGAUUUUUCACACCGCAUGGCAAACGUGUGGUGGACGGUUUUGCACUCUUGGAAAUUAAAAAAAGGACAAAACCAUUAUUUAUUACUUGGUCACAAGACGAGGUUAAGUCAAGUCAAGCAUAGCACUGCACUAGCUUGAUCACCUCAAUUUCACUGUAAAAACGUGAGUUCAUAUUAAUUGGCCCACCCUCAUUUCACUAUAAUAAAAAAUACUAUGUCUUUUCAAUGUUAAUGCAUGUUUUCUG